UUGAUUUUGAUAAAACUAAAAAAAAAAAACGUAUAAUAUUAGAGGUUUUAGAGGUAUGGCUCAAAGGAAAAAGGUUAAAGCGUUGAUUCUUGCAAAGAAACCAGAUGUAGUGUCUGCAGGAAACUAAGAUAGAGUUAGUGGAUCAUUUUGUUUGUGAAUCAUUGUGGGGUUCCAAGGAGGUUGGUUUUUCAUUUCAGCCUUCAGUUAGAUAAUUUGGUGGUAUUCUUGCGAUGUGGGAUGCUAAUGUUUUUGAGACAGUUUUCUGUGAAUUUGAAUCAUGUUCUUAUGGUUUAUGGAAAAUGGAAGAAAGAUGGGGUGUGACUGUGUGAUAGAAGAGAGGAAAUGUUUUUGUGGGAACAAUAAUCAAUAAGGAUUUCCAAUCAAUUACAACUAAAA
rnacentral:lncRNA from 1 species